AACUUUCGGCAAUGGAUCUCUUGGUUCUCGCAUCGAUGAAGAACGCAGCGAAAUGCGAUAAGUAAUAUGAAUUGCAGAUUUUCGUGAAUCAUCGAAUCUUUGAACGCACAUUGCGCCCUUUGGUAUUCCAAAGGGCAUGCCUGUUUGAGCGUCAUUUCUCUCUCAAAUCUUCGGAUUUGGUUUUGAGUGAUACUCUUAGUCAGACUAGGCGUUUGCUUGAAAUGUAUUGGCAUGAGUGGUACUAGAUAGUGCUGAACUGUUUCAAUGUAUUAGGUUUAUCCAACUCGUUGACCAGUAAAGUAUUUGUUUAUUACACAGGCUCGGCCUUACAACAACAAACAAAGUUUGACCUCAAAUCAGGUAGGACUACCCGCUGAACUUAAGCAUAUCAAUAAGCGGAGGCU
rnacentral:misc_RNA from 1 species